rnacentral:rRNA from 1 species
ACUCCUACGGGAGGCAGCAGUGGGGAAUAUUGCACAAUGGGGGAAACCCUGAUGCAGCCAUGCCGCGUGUGUGAAGAAGGCCUUCGGGUUGUAAAGCACUUUCAGUAGGGAGGAAGGUAGUGUAGUUAACACCUGCAUUAUUUGUACGUUACCUACAGAAGAAGCACCGGCUAACUCCGUGCCAGCAGCCGCGGUAAUACGGAGGGUGCGAGCGUUAAUCGGAAUUACUGGGCGUAAAGCGCAUGCAGGCGGCCUGUUAAGUCAGAUGUGAAAGCCCGGGGUCUUAACCUCGGAAUUGCAUUUGAAACUGGCAGGCUAGAGUCUUGUAGAGGGGUUAGAAUUUCAGGUGUAGCGGUGAAAUGCGUAGAGAUCUGAAGGAAUACCGAGUGGCGAA